rnacentral:rRNA from 1 species
CGAAGGUUAUAACCAUCUUUCGGCGCCGCACUGUACUAAACUAACUAAAGUGGGGGAUAGUGAGGGGAUAAAUUUCCUUAAGGAACUCGGCAAAAUCCCAAUGGCCCACCAGGGCAUAUAUUGGAACACGGGCCUCGACUGUUUACCAAAAACAUAGCCCUCGGCCAAUAUGAAAAUAGAAGUAUGGAGGGUGAGGCCUGCCCAAUGGUUGUAUCUAAAAGCGGUUGAUAAAAGUCGACCGUGUAAGGACAAUUGAAUGGCCGCGGUAACACUGACCGUGAUAAUGUAGCGUAAUCAAUAGCCAAUUAAUUGUUGGCCAGUAUGAAUGGCGCCACGAAGGCCCCACUGUCUUAAGGAAAUUCCCAGUGAAAUUGAAUUCGUAGUGAAGAUGCUACGUCCAAUUUGUUAGACGAAAAGACCCCGUUGAGCUUUACUGGGGCACUUACACGGCCCCGGCCUUCAAAACUGGGUUGAUAAGCCAAGGCUUACCAUACCUAGGGACCGGCCGAAUUUAAAUGGGCGGCUUAGACUAUGUGGCAGCCCCCCCCGUCGGGGCAGAUGAAAACCCACUCCCCCAUGUCAAAGGGGCUAACCCCCCCCCUUGGGGGGGACAGUGUAAGUAGGACAGUUUGGUUGGGGCGACCGCCUUUUAGAGAGUAACGAAGGUGCGCUUAAGGUGCGUAAUUAAUGACUGAAGCCUGACUGCGAGGGGGACACCCCGAGCAGACACCCCCAAGCCCGCCCUCGCCUUCGUACCAACGGAGGGAGGGCGGCGGUGGGGUGGGCCAUAGUGACCCGUUAAUUUAGAGUGGAAUAGUUAACGAUCAACGAAUAAAAGUUACCACGGGGAUAACAGCGUAAUAUCGUUAGAGAGUUCACAUCGACGACGAUGU